rnacentral:tRNA from 1 species
GGGUGUAGCUCAGUGGUAAAGUGCUUGCCUACCAUGCAUGAGGCCCUGGAUUUGAUCCCUAGCACUGCA